CUGUAAUUAGAGGCAGCAAAUGCAAAGCACAUAUUAACUUUUCUGGUGGCUGAGCUGCCUUGCGUAUGCCUCCGUACAGAAUGCUGCUCAAAUAUAAAUUAGCCUUUGCAAAGCACACUUGGUGGAUAAAUAAAGGGGAGGAAAAGGACUCCUUGAAGUUUUGCUGUUAGGUACCAAAAGCAAGAGAGAAGGCCAUGUGUGCUGUGUUGGCAAGGAAGGCCAAUACAAGGCAAAGCGCUCACCCACGCAAGGUGAGAGGUGCUUGUGGUGUAGAUGUGACCACCUCUGUGCCCAGGAGGCAGAAGCUGUGAUGUGCUGGGCAGAAGGGGUUGCAAAUACGGAUGGAGCCCCAGCUGAACGAAAGGUCUGAGCAUUUGGGUAAUUUUGGCCAGGAGCAGUGUGACUGCGAGCAGUUCAGGUCCUGCUUGUGUCAGAGCCUGGCAGGAAAACACACAUUUCUGCUAUCUGCUUCCAGAGGCCCUAUGCAAUGCAGUGGCCAAGGACAUCCUCAGAACCCCGUGAGCAUUUCUGCUCUUCAAGUGCGGCAUGUGCAAAGGCUUUGCUCUUGGCUGUGGCCCACCUGUGCACCAAAAUGCAAGCCCCCGGGAGUAAGAAGGCUGCAGGGGUGAGCAUGAUGAGAAAUCACACCGCACCUGGCUUCUCCUCCCUAAUCUCCUGCCCAGGAGGCAGGGGAAACUCCUUGUUAAUCAGAUGUUUCCCCGAGCCAAAUGAACCCCACUUGCAUAACUCAUGCACUGGGGGUUCUGCACCACCGUGGAUGGGAUCGUGUCUGGCAGCUGAUGGCCGAGAGGACACUGUUGGGACCCCAUGGCAGCGGGACUGGGAAGGAAUUUGUCCCUUUACACCCUUCUAGCAGCUGAGUGUUUGUGGGUGGAUUGGAGGCUGCCUGCAGUGGGUGACCCCAAACCUUUCCUCAUGGGAAGAAGAAAAGAUGCAGCUCCACGUUGCCCAUGCUCACAGCUGGCCUUUGCGCUCCUGGCCCGACAUUUCCAUUCCUGUUCCCACCUCACCCUGACCCCGAGGCAGGUCUCCUUCCUUUGGGCUCGCCAGGAGUCUCAGCCUGAGCCUUUUUUUUUAAUCUCAUUGGAAAAACAUCAUAUUUACCGCUGGUGAGGUUUUUUGCAGGACAGGGCUUGUUGUGCUGGAUCUCUCCAGUUUGAAAAGGGUUUGAGUUAAAAACAAAAAGCAACCAACUUCUAAAUUAUGAAAACUACCCAGGUUUUGACACUUAAAGCAAAAUAGGAAAGUUUUGAAAUUUUUGUGGCUAUAUUCUUUGCGCUAAAACCAAGCAUUUUGUGAGCUAAAAAAUUACAGAAUAUAUUUCAAAAUGAUCAAAAUAUAUAAAUUGCU
rnacentral:lncRNA from 1 species